rnacentral:rRNA from 1 species
UCGUCGGCGCCAUUAAGGUCGAGGUUAUCGCAUAUAAUUUCAACAACGGCAAUUUUUCGAGCAUCAACUUGAAAGUACCCGAGUGCGCCAGACGGAGUGCCGUUCAUGACACACCCAGGCACGAGGACCCACCACUCGGCAGUACAGCAAGUGAGCCACACUGCCCCUUGGUGGAGACAAUGGAACUUUUUUAAUCUCACAAGUUUCGUCCGGAUACGAGCUUAUGUAGUCGUACCUUAUUAUCUUAUCCUGCACACCAAGAUAAAACAACCAAAGAUCCUGGUGGCAUUACUAAUUAUCCCUGUCAGCCCCCGUAGUCAUAAGUUAACAGUCUCCACUUUAAGAACCUAAAUAACUUCUGAUUGAUGACGCUUUCGUAAACGGUUCCUACAAAAGUAAUUAGUCCUUGCUUUUAAUCCCCUAGCUUCUGCUAGUCUAUGGCAGCAUCAGAAUUGGUAUUUGAUACGGCUGAUCCCUAGCCUACUACAAUUAAAAAAUUACUGAGU